rnacentral:lncRNA from 1 species
CAGAUUAAAACAAAAUGAACGGCUGAGAUCAAAAGGCAAGGGGUUAUAAAUAGAACCCCCACACCAGACCACAAACCCUAGCCGCCUGCCGCUCGCCGGAGAAGACAAACCAGAAGCCGGCCGCCGCCACCCGCCGCCGCGCCGGGGAAAUUUUCGACCGCCGAUCGAGGUAAAUUUCAUACCCCCGACUCGUUUUUCCACGCUGAUUCCUCUUGUGGCCAAAUCGGAGCCAAAAUCCCGGCCAAACGGCCGGAAUACGCGGCCAAAGACCAGCGGCGCCGCCGCGCCCCUUCUCGAUUUUUGCCUCCGACGAGGCCCUUCCCGGCCUCCGUUUGAUGCAAUUUUUAUAUCACCGUGAUCACCAUUCUUUUCUCUACAGG